GUAAUUUUGAUCCUGUUAUAGCUGAUCUUGAGUAUUAUUUUUCCAUGAAACAUACCAUUUUUUAAUAGGUUACUAAGGGAAUAUAAUGGGUAGGUGUUUAAAACAUCAUUUUGCCAUUAUGCUUAACACUCAUUAAUUAUCAGUGUUGCUUUUACUGAAAUUAUUUCCUUUAUAUUUUGCAGUGGAUGAUGUGGGAGAGAAGUUAGAGCAUAUGGGGAACACACCAUUAAAAAUUGGUAGUGAUGGUUCACAAGAAGAUGUUAAAGAAGAUGGAUUUGGUUCAGAAGUGAUUAAAGUAUAUAUAUUUAAAGCAGAGGCUGAAGAUGAUGUUGAAAUAGGUGGGACAGAAAUUGUCACUGAGAGUGAAUACACCAGUGGACAUUCUGUAGCUGGAGUGCUUGACCAGAGCCGAAUGCAGCGAGAGAAAAUGGUUUACAUGGCAGUGAAAGAUUCUUCCCAAGAAGAAGAUGAUAUCAAUGAAAGACGAGUUUCCCGAAGAUAUGAAGAUUGUCAAGCCACAGGAAACACUUUUGACUCUGCAUUAGAAAACCGAAGCACGACAGCAGCGCAGUACCUUCAAAUUUGUGAUAGCAUGAACACAAAUAAAGUACUGAAACAAA
rnacentral:lncRNA from 1 species